CAGUCGCCACGGUAAUACGGAGGGCUCGAGCGUUACCCGGAUUUACUGGGCGUAAAGGGCGUGUAGGCGGCCUGGGGCGUCCCAUGUGAAAGGCCACGGCUCAACCGUGGAGGAGCGUGGGAUACGCUCAGGCUAGAGGGUGGGAGAGGGUGGUGGAAUUCCCGGAGUAGCGGUAAAAUGCGCAGAUACCGGGAGGAACGCCGAUGGCGAAGGCAGCCACCUGGUCCACUUCUGACGCUGAGGCGCGAAAGCGUGGGGAGCAAACCGGAUUAGAUACCCGGGUAGUCCCUGUCUCUUAUAC
rnacentral:rRNA from 1 species